GUGCAUGAGAUUUUGCCCAAUCCGCGCCCCGUAUCCCGCACCAGCCACCACCCAAACCCUAGCCCCGUCCCCCCUCGAUCCCCACAGCCUCGCCCACCUCCUCCAUCCCUCCUCCUCGCCUCGCCACGGCCUCCGCCCCGGAGCCUCGCCGCCGCCUGCGAUUCCUCCCUCCUGCCCGCAGAGCCCAUUGGGCUAGCCAACCCUAGCCCCAAUCCACAUCCCCCGCGCCCCUCACUGGUCCCUCCUCCUCCUUCCCUCGUCCGCCGCCUCGCUCCCUCGCUCUCCUCCCUCGUCGCCGUGGCCUUCGGCCUAGGAGCCCCGGCGGCUACUGCUCCUCCUCCACCACCUCGCCUCUUUCUCCUCCUCGCCUUCCCAUCGCUCGCGCGCAUGUCACCGCCGUCGAAGAACACGGGAGUGCGGGUCUUCAAGUUGGGGUGGUCAGGAGGGCUUCCCAACCUGACGGCGCCUCCUCCUCCUCGCAGCGUCGUAGCGCGUGCACCUUCUUAUCCCCCCUCCUCCCUCCCUCGUCACUACUUCCACCAGUUCCCUCCCUUCCUCGUCUGUGGACGCUGCUGACCCCUCCUCCGGCCUCUGCGUCUCCGCCCAGGCGGCAAGGCCCCCAGCCCCCCUCGGGCCUCGGCCCCUCCGUACAGCCCGCUUCUGCCUCGUCCAACUCGCUGCUUAGCUCCCAAGAUAAUUUCAGUGGUGAUACCUGAUGCUGUAUGUGUCUGACUGUCUGUUCACUGUCUUUCUAUGGCGAUAGCUUGAUAUAUGGCUGAUGUAUGUUCAGUCUUCGUUUUUUCCCUCCUGGUGAAUGGUGAUAUAUGCAUGGUGAUAGCUGCUACUGUAUGUGUAUAUGUUGUGGUAUUCUUUCUUAUUGUUGUAUGUGUAUGUAUGUAUGUAUGCAGUGAGCAUUUCGUUUCUGUCCUCCUUCGUUUUUGUUGGAUGCAUGCGUCCAGUUAGAUUUUUCAGAGCAUAUGUAUGAACGGCUUAGAUUUUUGCAGAGCAUAUCAUAUGUGUAACGAGUUAGAUUUUUGCAGAGGGUAUCUAUGCGAUUCAUCUCCCUCUGCUAGAUAAAUGGUUUGCCCUAAACAAGCAUAUACAUCAAAAUACAAAGGAGAAUUACGCCUCUGUUUUAUGUUAUGUGUUCUGCUUGCUAUCUUGUUUAUGGACUCUCUGUAAGUGCGCCUUUCCAUCGGCAACCUUGUGCUUUGGUUGUCAGAUUGCCACUGUUUGUGAUAUGGUAAUAGUUUUCCUUGGCGUUACUUAAUUAGCCCCUGGUUAUAUUUUGUUGUUUCCCCUUGAAACUACAUUCCCGAUCUGGAGCGGGAGGCCAGGGAUGCCUCGUAUGUGUCUCCGUAAUUUUCUUCUCAGUUUGACAAGGAAUAUGCCUAUGGUAGUCUUCUGAUUUUGGGUGUAGAUUCUGAUUUUGUUGGCAAAACAAUGGUAGAUUUCUCCAUUAGCUUAUAUGAUUUGGGGCUGAUUUUCCUUGUGUGAUUCCUGUUCAUGGCCUUGUUGUGGGAGAUUGCAAAAGUGAAGUGAAUUAAGUGUGAAAAAAUAGCAGGAUCAAUGCCUGGGCUGUAGAUUUCUCCAUUGGUUUAGUCAUGGCUAAUAUGAACUUCUCUAUUAUAUUACUUAUGGAUUGUUCAGUAAAAUGAAACCUCAUGGUGUGGCAUAUCACCUCCCUUGCACAUAUACUUGUACCCAACUUAGACCAUCAGUGGAACUGUCUAUAUUGUACAGGUCAACUAAUACACGUAUGUAUGUAUGUAUGCAGUGAGCAUUCCGUUUCUGUCCUCCUUCGUUUUUGUUGGAUGCAUGCGUCCAGUUAGAUUUUUCAGAGCAUAUGUAUGAAUGGCUUAGAUUUUUGCAGAGCAUAUCAUAUGUGUAACGAGUUAGAUUUUUGCAGAGGGUAUCUAUGCGAUUCAUCUCCCUCUGCUACUUGAUUAAAUGGAUGAAUCCAGUUAGAUUCUGAAUGUGAUGAACGUCUUAUAUAUACGCCACACAUGGUGCAGCAGGCUCGGAGGGCAGCGGGCGCGGCAGGCUUGGCAGGCAGCGGGCGCGGUGGUCAAGGCCAGGGGCGCGGAUUGGGGAGAUGCGCACACGAGGAGCGACGGCCUAUGUUUUAAAGGCGUCCGUAAGGCGACGCCUAGGCGACGCCUAGGCGUUGAGGCGCCCCCCCCAGCGCUUUGCGCUUUAGGCGCCUAGGCGUCCGCUUUAGGCGCCUAGGCGUCGCCUAGGCGUCGAAGCGCCCCCCCAGCGCCUUAAAGCAAGGCGUCGCCUUAAAAACAUAGGCGACGGCGACCGUGUCUGCCGCCAACACUGAGGUGAGCUUCACCCAAUCUCUCUCUUACUCUCUCUGUGCGGCCUCCUCCCCUUGGCCCCUGAUUCAUUGAUGAGGUAUGCCAAUAUGCCAUGGUUGUGUGUUCGCAAACCCUUCCCUUUUAUCACUAUCAAAUAGUGUCAAACAGAGCAUCUUAUACUUUGUUUCUACGUGCAAAUCAGCUCUUCGUUCUUUCAAGCCCUAUGUUGCUUACUCAAAUGUUUGUGGCGAUUGUAUCCUUGUGCCAUGAAUAUUUGUACUUAGCAGAUCAAUAUGAACAUAUUGGUUAUCUAUUUACCAAUUCAGAAUUUAAAACACUUUAUUUUAUGGCCUUGAGUAAAAGUUCAGUCAUUGUUGGCUGGAAGACAUCUUCAAUACGCUGUCAACACGAGCUUCCCAAGGUAAUGAUCUAAGAGGAAGUGAGUUCGAGAUGAGAUGGGGACAGAAGAUCCUGCAGCGAUGUUGUUUCUUGUUCUCCUGCUCAAGGUUUGCUCUUUCCUACUUACUGUCAUGGUGGUUGGUUCACUGCUCGUUUUAUUGUUUCGGAAUUAGCCGCCUGUCGUGUUUUGAUUUGCCUCGUGCUGCUUAUAUUUCGUGUUUGCGUGUGGGAAGGAUGUGUGCUAUAGAUUUUGUGUGUGCAUCCGAGAUACCUAGAAUGGUUGAGAACUGAAUGUGUUGCCCUAUUUAAUUGGCAUAUUCAACUUAAUUAAUACGCCUUUUAGCCGUGACUUCUGCCCAAACUUUUGAAAGUGCAGAUGAUCACGCUAUCGGGUAAUGGUGUUUUCUAUUGCAAUUUGUCAGCUAUACUACAUGCUGCCCCUGUUUCUUUUGCUCUGCUAAAAAUGUGUGCUUACUUUCAAUCUUAUUACAUCAAUAGACUUCCGGGCGUAUAGUAUUUCUGUAAUCUCUAUGCCUUACUGGUUUUGUGAUUUCAGCUCAGGUGGAUGAGCCCCGUCCUGUGUUAUUCCCCUUGGUUUCUGAAGCUCCCAGGAUUUAAUAAUGAAUUGUCUUGGGCUUCAUUGGACAAAUGAUCUACCUCGAGCAAUGAUGCAGUGUAGGUUGGCGUUGAAGCCUCAUGGCGUUUUUCUUGCAGCAAAUCUUGGCGGGAAGACUCUGAAGUGAUAAUCUUAAAUUUGCCAUUUACCGACAUUUUCCAGUUUCUUGUUUGACUUGCCUUUUCUUGGAUGCGAUGAUAAGGGAACUAAGAAUUGCGUGCACUAUUGCUCAAAUGGAACAUAAGGGAGGCAUCCGUCCUCGAAUGUUGCCUUUAGAACAAGUAUGAUUCCUUUAUAAUCUGAGAUUUUGCCCUUCCAGGAGUUGAUGUAGAUCGAUAUACAGUCAAAUACAAUACUGGCGUGUAUAAAAAAACUUGAAUUUUCCUGGGAUUGAACUUUGAACUAAUAAAUCUAGACUAUGGAGGUAAUGUGCUUUGCAUUAUUAUAGAUCGUAUAUGCUGCUCUUACUUAAUUAUACUUUCUAAUUACAUGCUGCCCCUGUUUCUUUUGUUGUGCUAAAAAUGGGUGCUUACUUUCAAUCUUAUCGCAUCAAUAGACUUGCGGGCGUAUAGUAUUUCUGUAAUCUCUGUGCCUUACCGAUUUUGUGAUUUCAGCUCAGGUGGAUGAGCCCCAUCCUGUGUUAUUCCCCUUGGUUUCUGAAGCUCCCAGGAUUUAAUAAUGAGGUGUCUUGGGCUUCAUUGGACAGAUGAUCUACCUCGAGCAAUGAUACAUUGUAGGUUGGCGUUGAAGUCUGAUGGCGUUUUUCUUGCAGCAAAUCUUGGCAGGAAGACUCUGAAGUGAUAAUCUUAAAUUUGCCAUUUACCGACAUUUUCCAGUUUCUUGUUUGACUUGCCUUUUCUUGGAUGCGAUGAUAAGGGAACUAAGAAUUGCGUGCACUAUUGCUCAAAUGGAACAUAAGGGAGGUAUCAGUCCUCAAAUGUUGCCUCUAGAACAAAAGUAACGCUCAAAAGCCUGAAUAGAAUUCCUUGGGAAAGGGUAGAUGUUAGCUUCAAGAGAAGUAGACAAUAGAUUUUUGCCCAUAGCACCAUUCAGCCCUACUGCUCCUGAGCCCAAAUCCCAUGACCAUGCCCCCACCUCUCCUUUGUUGAAUGAAGGGAGUCUGGUUGCUAAAAAGUGAGUUUUCUUAAUCAGUAUGUAUGGCCCCUCUGCACAUGAUGUUUCUUCGUAUUUAUGAGGCCCUCAAGCUUUGUCAGUUUUCUAAUAGAUAUGGAAUUUUAAUUUGAUAGUCCCAACAACGAUGGGUAUUGAUGGAGCUAUCUAUUAUUUAUUGUCAAUCUGUAAUACUUUUGUCAGCUUCUAGCAUGUCGUUGCUCUGCCAGAGUGCAAUUUUCUCUGCAUGGCAUACACCAGUUACCAUUAGUUGAUAUGUUUGUUGAAGUUUUAUUGCAAGUUAAAUAAAUGUGUAGUGUGGCAUACUGAUUAUUAUAGUUUGAUAAUGUCAGGCGCCGAUGGCUUUAGAUAUGUAAAUAAAAUAUGGUGAUUGUCACCGGCAUGUAGUGUGGCAUACUAAUCAAAUGACUAAGCAUUUAAUUAUUGUUCUGUUAUGUUAUUGAUUUCACCGGCUUUAUGUCGGCUGAUUAGUUCUGAAGGAUUCCACAUCGGCUAAUUUAGAUUAUGUUACUAGAGUAUUAGAAGAAGUUCCUGAUAUAUGUAUUUAGAGCAUUUGCUGAGAUUUGAUGCAAAAUAUUGAUGACCAGGCAUUAUACUGCGCAUAAGCACAAUUUUUUAGUUUUUCUUUUUAUUGUUGCAGCAACUUUUCUAUAGCAAUAGCCAAAUAGUGUGACAUAACACUAUUCCAUUUUCAUAGGCCAUAACACAUCUUUACAUGUAAGUUUGUUCUCUAGAUAGUUCUCUUUCCAAGAUUUUCAUAUCAUAUUUGUUGUGGGAUCUGACUGCUUUACCAUAUUUUCCUGGUGUGGACGAUGUUAUAGAGUGAGCUACCAUCACUUCUCAUUACUGACUGUAAUCAAUAUAUAUGUGUUUAUGCCAUAAAAGAUGGAUAUUUGUCGAAGCCGUUGUCGUGUCAUGUAAUUACCUGGAGAUCAGCUAUAUAGUUUUGUUCAGAUUGUAAAGUGGAAACGACAACUCCUGUGUGAUUGUCAUUUGAUUAUUUACUUCCUCAAGUAGUAUGGAUAUGGUGCUGCCAGGAUAUUAAGUAUAUUCAUGAAGUUGUAUAAACCACGUUCUACGAUUCACUUAUGUUAUGCAUAUAUACUUUCCAGUUUUAGGACUGAAAUCCAUCCAUUGUAAUGAACUUGGUUGUAUGGGCAUUACCUAUUUGACUUAGGCUUGCUUCAUCACA